UUUUAGAUGUAUGCUGUUGGAGAAGAUAUCAAAAAGACAAAAAAAGAAAUUGUUAGGUUGCAGCAGUCUUUGAAUAGGAAUGCUGAAAGGAACGAAGCAGCUUGUGCACGAAUGAAGCAGAAAAUGAUUGUACAGAGCAAUCUCUUAAAAAAACUGGAAGCAAAAGAACAAAAAAUAAGUGAUGAAAUAAACUUGAAAAAGAAUCACAAGAAAAUAUCAAUAUUUUAGUUAUUGAGAUUCUGCACUUAGGUAUGUCUUUGUAAAUAUUAAAUUAAUUAAAAGAUUUAUCAUAC